UACGUAGGGGGCAAGCGUUGUCCGGAUUUAUUGGGCGUAAAGAGCGUGUAGGCGGCUUGGUAGGUCUGCUGUGAAAACUCGGGGCUCAACCCCGAGACGUCGGUGGAAACCACCUGGCUAGAGUCCGGAAGAGGAGAGUGGAAUUCCUGGUGUAGCGGUGAAAUGCGCAGAUAUCAGGAAGAACACCAAUGGCGAAAGCAGCUUUCUGGGACGGUACUGACGCUGAGACGCGAAAGCGUGGGGAGCGAACAGG
rnacentral:rRNA from 1 species